UGGGGAAUAUUGGACAAUGGGGGCAACCCUGAUCCAGCCAUGCCGCGUGAGUGAUGAAGGCCUUCGGGUUGUAAAGCUCUUUUAGCGGGGACGAUGAUGACGGUACCCGCAGAAUAAGCCCCGGCUAACUUCGUGCCAGCAGCCGCGGUAAGACGAAGGGGGCUAGCGUUGCUCGGAAUUACUGGGCGUAAAGCGCGUGUAGGCGGCUGUUCAAGUUGGGCGUGAAAGCCUUGGGCUUAACCCAAGAAAUGCGCUCAAUACUGGAUAGCUAGAGGACCGGAGAGGAUAGUGGAAUUCCCAGUGUAGUGGUGAAAUACGUAGAGAUUGGGAAGAACACCAGUGGCGAAGGCGGCUAUCUGGACGGUUUCUGACGCUAAGACGCGAAAGCGUGGGGAGCAAACAGGAUUAGAUACCCCCGUAGUCC
rnacentral:rRNA from 1 species